rnacentral:rRNA from 1 species
UACGUAGGGUGCAAGCGUUGUCCGGAAUUAUUGGGCGUAAAGAGCUCGUAGGCGGUCUGUCGCGUCGGCUGUGAAAACUCGGGGCUCAACUCCGAGCUUGCAGUCGAUACGGGCAGGCUAGAGUUCGGCAGGGGGAGACUGGAAUUCCUGGUGUAGCGGUGAAAUGCGUAGAGACCCGGAGGAACACCAGUGGCGAAGGCGGCUUCCUGGUCUGCGACUGACGCUGUGGCGCGAAAGCUAGGGGAGCAAACGGG